rnacentral:lncRNA from 1 species
UAGUUAAGAAGGGCAGGCUCAGUUGCGCUAGGGCGCUAAGAUGUCGUUUCCAAAGUAUAAGCCCUCAUGUCAGGCCACUCUACCCCGACCCUCGACCCCGAUAAGACAUAUCUCCGGAAACCUGGAAGGCACAAGCCGAGAGGUAGGCCAUAAGAGCCCGGCUUAAAUGGGACUAUCUGCUUCAGUACAAUGACCCCAACUGCCAAGGGCUCAUCGAAGAUCCUGCCUUAAUUCGCUGGACCUACGCAAGAUCAGCAAAUAUCUACCCAAAUUUCAGACCCACUCCCAAGAACUCACUCUUAGGAGCUCUGUUUGGAAUUGGACCCCUCUUCUUCUGGUAUUAUGUUUUCAAAACUGAUAGGGAUAGGAAGGAAAAACUUAUCCAGGUAGGAAAAUUGGACCUAAAAUUUAAUAUCUCCUAUUAAGUCUGGCAAUGAUGAUUAAUAUAUUAUUCUUGCUUAAUAAAUCUUCUAAUAAUCAUAAAAAAA